GGUAAAGUGGCUGAGUAAUAGGCGAUAAACUGUAAAUUUAUUUACGGGUUUUUUACCCCUUUGCCA
rnacentral:tRNA from 1 species